AGGAGCAAGAGCAGGGACAGAUGGUAAAGUGCCAGAGGAAGCUGUAAGAUAUUUUCCAGAAUUUCAACAUUGUCUUUAUAUCUUUCUAGCUCAUGUCCUGAGUCUACUCUGGAUACAGAAGUGGAAGAAUCACCUUCAAACAUGCUAGGAAUGUGCCCUGGAUGUCAACACAUGACUGUGACACAGACCAAAGAGACCCCAACCCAGAUAAAUCUUCCUGCUUCUGGCCCCCUCCACCACCAUAGCCUCAUACUUACUGGAGGACAGAGGAGCUGGAUGAUUCUUCCACAGCCCCAGGACUCAGGUCCUGGCUCCAAACAACCAAGCUGAUAUUGACAUUCAUGUACCUGACUCCUACAUGUCAUUGGUUUCAAAAUCAAGAAGGGAAGUGAAAGACAUUACUGACUAGACCCUGCAGCCCUAACUCCAAUUACAAAAUAAAAGCUGAUUUGUCAAUACAAGU